rfam:Otolemur garnettii contig033026, whole genome shotgun sequence.
GCGCCUGUGGCUCAAAGGAGUAGGGCACCGGCCCCAUAUGCUGGAGGCGGCAGGUUCAAACCCAGCCCCGGCCCA